rnacentral:RNase_P_RNA from 1 species
CGAGUCGGCCGGGUGAUCGCGGGCCCCUGAUGGGGCUUGAGGAAAGUCCGGACUCCACAGGGCAAGGUGGUGGGUAACACCCACCCGGGGUGACCCGCGGGCCAGUGCCACAGAGAAUAGACCGCCAGUUGACGACGGGCGGGAGUGCCGUAGGGCGCGUCCCGGCUCCGGAGCCACUGGUAAGGGUGAAACGGCGGUGUAAGAGACCACCAGCACGGCGGGAGACCGCCGUGGCUAGGUAAACCCCACCUGGAGCAAGACCAAGAAGGGCCCGCCCGGUUCGCCGGGUGUGCCCGCGGAGGCGAACGGCUUGAAGUCACGCCUGGCGUGGUUCUUCAAGCCGAAAAGGUAGCCCGCCCGAGCCUCCGGGUAGGUCGCACGGUUCGGCGCACGGCCCACGGGGCCGCCCGCCGGGAUGCCUACCAAGGCAUCAGCAACCGAAGGACGUCGGUGACGGCGUUCGCAGAUGGAUGAUCGCCGUCUGGAAGUGCCUCUUGGGUACGCACCAGAUACAGAAUCCGGCUUACAGGCCGACUCGUCCC